rnacentral:RNase_P_RNA from 1 species
CUGGGGAGCCGGGCAGCCGCGUCGGGGAAACCCGUACGAGGAAAGUCCGGGCUCCACGAAACAAGGAUGGCGGGUAACGCCCGCCCGGCGAGGAAACGGCCGUCCGUCAGGGCGGCACGUCCGAAGCCGAGGGACAGUGCCACAGAGAGCAAUCCGCCGAUGGUCCUCAGGUCGAAAGAUCGGGGGACACAGGCAAGGGUGAAAGGGUGCGGUAAGAGCGCACCGGGGAACCGGCAACGGCGACCGCAUGGCAAACCCCAUCCGGAGCAAGACCGAAUAGGGGCGGCGCGCCCGGCCGAAAGGUGCAGGGCAGGGGUGUUUCGCCCCGUGACCGCCCGGGUUGGUUGCUUGAGCCUUGCGGCAACGCAAGGCCUAGAUGAAUGGCUGCCCUUGCGGGGCUGGUGUCUUACAUACCGCCCGCAUGACAGAACCCGGCUUACAGGCUCCCCGGCGCA